rnacentral:misc_RNA from 1 species
GAAAUGCGAUAAGUAGUGUGAAUUGCAGAAUUCAGUGAAUCAUCGAAUCUUUGAACGCACAUUGCGCCCUUUGGUAUUCCAAAGGGCAUGCCUGUUCGAGCGUCAUUUGUACCCUCAAGCUUUGCUUGGUGUUGGGCGUCUUGUCUCUAGCUUUGCUGGAGACUCGCCUUAAAGUAAUUGGCAGCCGGCCUACUGGUUUCGGAGCGCAGCACAAGUCGCACUCUCUAUCAGCAAAGGUCUAGCAUCCAUUAAGCCUUUUUUUCAACUUUUGACCUCGGAUCAGGUAGGGAUACCCGCUAAACUUAAGC